GAUGAACGCUGGCGGCGUGCCUAAUACAUGCAAGUCGAGCGAACGGACGAGAAGCUUGCUUCUCUGAUGUUAGCGGCGGACGGGUGAGUAACACGUGGAUAACCUACCUAUAAGACUGGGAUAACUUCGGGAAACCGGAGCUAAUACCGGAUGAUAUUUUGAACCGCAUGGUUCAAAAGUGAAAGACGGUCUUGCUGUCACUUAUAGAUGGAUCCGCGCUGCAUUAGCUAGUUGGUAAGGUAACGGAUUACCAAGGCAACGAUGCAUAGCCGACCUGAGAGGGUGAUCGGCCACACUGGAACUGAGACACGGUCCAGACUCCUACGGGAGGCAGCAGUAGGGAAUCUUCCGCAAUGGGCGAAAGCCUGACGGAGCAACGCCGCGUGAGUGAUGAAGGUCUUCGGAUCGUAAAACUCUGUUAUUAGGGAAGAACAUAUGUGUAAGUAACUGUGCACAUCUUGACGGUACCUAAUCAGAAAGCCACGGCUAACUACGUG
rnacentral:rRNA from 1 species